UAUGCAGAGUUGGUUUGCCCACUCCUCCUGUCAUGUGAGUCUGAGGAAUUAGGAGGCAGGCCAGCAGGCUAGACAGUCAGUGUCUAUGCCUCCAGCCCAGCGAUCAUAUUCUUAGCAGCCCCUGAUGGUGUUCUUUCCUGCUGGGAAGUGGUAACACUCCCGAAGCUCCCUGCCCACUCAUCUCAACUUCUUUGUGCCAUGAAUCAUUGGUAAUGUUGUUAAAAUGCAGACUUUGAUUCAGUCAGUCUGGAGCGUGGCCCAGGGUUUCGCCUAACAUAAUCCCAUCCCAGGUGAUGCUUGGCGGCUGCUCUGCGGCCAGCACUGUAACGAGGCUGCCACCUGAACACAGGCAAACCCUGCAGUCAGCGAGUGUCCAGCCACACACCUAAUCACUCCUUUGACAGAAGUAUCCUUAUCUGUCCCCCAGCCCUAAAUAACCUAUAGGAUUCUUAGAUGGCAUGGAGACUUUGGGGUUUCCACCAUUCUAAACCUCAACCCUCCUGAUAGGUAGGUCCUUCCUUGUAUAACCCCAACCCACCUCUUAAAAUCCAUACCCCCCAACCUAUCAUUUAGUUCUUCCUUUUCCUCCCUCCAGUGUAAUCCAGUCCUAGCAUAGGAAACAGCAGCAGCUGUCAUGUGCCAGUCUGCGGUUUCCUCUUCUCAGUAGGCUUGUAAAUGCCAGUUCGUGAAGUAGUUAUUAUUCUAACCUCCAUGUUACUGACAAGGAAUUGAGACCUGGUGGGGUAAAUGCAUUGCCCGAAGCCAUGUGAUUAAGUAAAGGAAGCCAAGAGCUGAAGGCCGGCUGUCCUACUCCAAUGUCCAAGGUCCUGGCCUGCCCUGAUACAAGAAGGAACUCACUAACCACAGGAAUGACCUGAAUCUGUUGUGGAGGCUGGGACACUCCCUACCUUUGUCACCUGUCAACAGCUUACCUUGUAAUCACAAGGACAAUUAAACUUCAGCAGACACCUUGGAGUGGGACAUUUAAACUGUAGAGGGCUCCACAUGAGCUUCUGGAUGUAAAUGGGGCCUCCAUAAAACACACUGUGGGGAUGCUCAGAAAACAGGUCUUAUGUAAGGACUAAAAGACACCUGAGAGAGCUAGACCAGCCACACUGAGCAUCCUGCUGUCCGUGGGACCUCUCGGGAACACUUGACAUGAAACUUCUCCUGCCCUUUUGAAGGCCCUUUGGCUUCUAUGCCAGUUACUUUUCUGUCACUGCGAUAAAAUUCCACGACCAGAAGCAACUUCAGGAAGAAAGAGUUUCCGGAUCCAGAGGGGCAUAUCCACCAUGGCUGGAGAAGGCACAGAGAGGUGACAGGAGCAAGGAAGGUGGCUGAGCUUCAAUCCUAAGGUUGAGUGAGAGACUACACACUCUCAAAGCCUGUUUCCAUUGAACUUCCUCCAGCAAGACUUCCCCUUUUUCUACACUGCCCCAGUCCUGGAGAACAGUCUCUUAAAUUAACACACGUCACUAAUAAGCGUGCUUUUCCCUGACCGUGCCCUUCCUUCCCCAGCAGUCACCAUGCAAGCUCUUUGAAGUCUUCCCACCUUUCCGAGUCUGCGUCUUCCUUUCUGUUUCUCUCCGAUGCUAGCCAGAGCCUAAUCACCCUUCCUCUGGGUUCCUGGGGCUUUUUCACCUCUCAGAAACACCUCCCAGUUGCCAUGUGGCUGCUUGUUCAUGCCCCUUUCUCUUUUCUCCAUGUCCCUCCUCCAGGCAGCUGCCAAGAUUUACAGUUUGCCGGCCCUACGGUGUGACUUUUCUUUUUAAAUCCAGAUAUAAAAUGUUCCUGAGCUUUAAAAAUAAAUACACUUCCCCUUGA
rnacentral:sRNA from 1 species